rnacentral:rRNA from 1 species
GAUGAACGCUGGCGGUAUGCCUAACACAUGCAAGUCGUACGAGGGUUUUUAACUCUAGUGGCGGACGGGUGAGUAACACGUGAGAAUUUGCCUUUAGGAGGGGGAUAACAAUCGGAAACGAAUGCUAAUACCCCAUAUGCUUUUGAGUGAAAUGGAUUUUAUCCGCCUAGAGAGAAGCUCGCGGCUGAUUAGCUUGUUGGUAAGGUAAGAGCUUACCAAGGCGACGAUCAGUAUCUGGUUUGAGAGGACGAUCAGACACACUGGAACUGAGACACGGUCCAGACUCCUACGGGAGGCAGCAGUGGGGAAUUUUCCGCAAUGGGCGAAAGCCUGACGGAGCAAUACCGCGUGAGGGAAGAAUGCCUAUGGGUUGUAAACCUCUUUUUCUAGGGAGGAAUAAAAUGACGUGUACCUGAAGAAUAAGCAUCGGCUAACUCCGUG